rnacentral:rRNA from 1 species
CUACGUGCCAGCAGCCGCGGUAAUACGUAGGUGGCAAGCGUUGUCCGGAUUUAUUGGGCGUAAAGCGAGCGCAGGCGGUUCCUUAAGUCUGAUGUGAAAGCCCCCGGCUCAACCGGGGAGGGUCAUUGGAAACUGGGGAACUUGAGUGCAGAAGAGGAGAGUGGAAUUCCAUGUGUAGCGGUGAAAUGCGUAGAUAUAUGGAGGAACACCAGUGGCGAAGGCGACUCUCUGGUCUGUAACUGACGCUGAGGCUCGAAAGCGUGGGUAGCAAACAGGAUUAGAUACUCUGGUAGUCCACGCCGUAAACGAUGAGUGCUAAGUGUUGGAGGGUUUCCGCCCUUCAGUGCUGCAGUUAACGCAUUAAGCACUCCGCCUGGGGAGUACGACCGCAAGGUUGAAACUCAAAGGAAUUGACGGGGACCCGCACAAGCGGUGGAGUAUGUGGUUUAAUUCGACGCAACGCGAAGAACCUUACCAGGUCUUGACAU